GACGAACGCUGGCGGCGUGCUUAACACAUGCAAGUCGAACGGAAAGGCCCUGCUUGCAGGGUACUCGAGUGGCGAACGGGUGAGUAACACGUGGGUGAUCUGCCCUGCACUUCGGGAUAAGCUUGGGAAACUGGGUCUAAUACCGGAUAGGAGCCAUCUUUAGUGUGGUGGUUGGAAAGUUUUUUCGGUGUAGGAUGAGCUUGCGGCCUAUCAGCUUGUUGGUGGGGAAAUGGCCUACCAAGGCGGCGACGGGUAGCCGGCCUGAGAGGGUGUACGGCCACAUUGGGACUGAGAUGCGGGCCAGACUCCUACGGGAGGCAGCAGUGGGGAAUAUUGCACAAUGGGCGCAAGCCUGAUGCAGCGACGCCGCGUGGGGGAUGAAGGCCUUCGGGUUGUAAACUCCUUUCGCUAGGGACGAAGCUUUUUUGUGACGGUACCUAGAUAAGAAGCACCGGCUAACUACGUG
rnacentral:rRNA from 1 species